rnacentral:lncRNA from 1 species
GAAACCCAUCGGAGCUAUCCGAAUCAUUCACCUGAACAUGACUCAACAGUUUCUUUGCCUCGUGUAACCGAAACGCGACUUUUGAGGGAAAAGGAACCCACUUAGGUGGAACGGUGAAGUCCACUGCCUGAGUCCGUAGAUCAUCACCGUUAAUCAUGGCCGAUGAUGAUCCAAAAAAUGUUAGAGUCCAACCACCAAAGAUACUGAAAAAGGCACUUGAGAUUCCGAGAUCGGCCGUAAUACGAGGUAACCAGAAAGGUGAGAAGUCGUAAAUAAUCCAAUCAGGAGUAGAAGUUUCUAGAAACUGAAGCAGAGGGCAUUGCAGGUUAUCGUAGGCUUUCUUGAGGUAUGGAACCUUGUGCGUGGGAAUGUCAGUGGUGGCCUCUGAAUUAGGGGGGAGAUGGUCUUCAGAAGGUAAAGUGAGGGUUACUAAAUGGACAAGGUUUGCUAAAUUUGGAGGGAUUUUGGGCAAACGCUGGAUGUUUUUAGGGGUAGAAAUAAAGAAGAUUUUGUGACCUCUUUUGGCUAAAAGCUUGGCGAGCUCGAGGAAUGGGAUUAUAUGACCAAACGCUAGCCAUGGAAACAGAGCAAUAUGGAGCUUUUUAUGUUCAUUCAUGGUGAACAGAGGACUAAUGUAGAAGCCUACAAGCUGCUUGUAGAAAAUCCCUAUAUUGAAAAAUGAAAAUCAUGAUAAGCAAAACUUUGGGCUAAUCGUGGUUGAUAUUGUAUCAAAAAAUAUCCUUUAGCAGGAGUGAAAAUACUAAAAGGGCCUUGUUUUAAUUGAAGGUAGGGACAAAACUUUGCAAAAUGAAACUUUACCAACUCGUGGAAAAGUAAAAGAAUCAAUUAAGAGUGGCUGAACCAAAUCUAUUUUUCAAUUAAAAAAUCAAUUAGUACUUGUAGAAAAAUUGUCAUGAUGCACAAAACUAUUAUUUUGCUCAAACCUACCAAUCUGGCAGUCUGGGAAAUUUUGAUUUAAUUGCUAAACAAUUAAUUUUUUUCCCCCUUUUUUUUAAAAGAAAAAAAAUCAAAUUAUUUUAUAUUUACUUUAUUAAUUAAAACAAUUUAUAUUAAUACAAUUCCUUGCGGCAUAUGUAUCUCAUUAUUAUUGACUCUGGCACACUAAAUACAAGCACAUAUUGCCCCUCCCAAUUCACCGGAAUCAUUCGAUAACCGGGGACUCGGUGCACCCAACUCGGUGAGUUUGUAGAAGCUCAACGAAUUGGUCAAUAUAACGGUCAUGUAGUUCUUCAUUUGCAAAUAACUUCGACAUCUCUUUUGCAUUCUCUCUAUACAAUUUUCCUUCCUCCUCAACCAUAACCAAUUUCACUGAGUCAGCCACCGAGUCCCUUGUAUAAGACCCAUCUUCCUCAUCUCUUGUUAUCUCUACACCGACUUUCUUGUCUUCAAAAACCCUAGCAAUUAAACCGUGGUCAAAAGUAAUAGGCAACAUAAUCAAAGCACGUCCAGAAUAUAGAGCAUCUAUAAUUGAACUAAAACCACAAUGAGUCAAAAACCCUCCAACAGAUUCAUGACUCAGGAUUCUUGGUUGAGGUACCCAACUCGUCCAAAACAUUCCACGUCCUUCAACUCGCUCCUCGAACCCAUCUGGCAACUCCGCCGAGUAAUCGUUCCGUUUCCUUGAAGCCCAAAAGAAUGGCAAACCUGAUAGCUCUAACCCGAGUGCCAACUCAGUGAACUCGUUCUGACUCAAAUCCACUUCGCUUCCAAAUGCUAUGUAUACUACAGACCCUUUUUCUUGCUUGUCUAGCCAAUCUCGGAUUUUAAGCCACGUAUCAUCUUCAUCACCAUUGCCAUCUAGAGUUAAAGGUGGCAGUAGACCUAAUGGAAACACAGGCUUACCAUGAAGCUCUCUAACAAGUCUUAAAAAAUCAGCUUCUAGCUCGAAACAGCUCCUAAUAGCUAUAAUAUCACUACUCGCCAUUACUGAACNNNNNNNNNNNNNNNNNNNNNNNNNNNNNNNNNNNNNNNNNNNNNNNNNNNNNNNNNNNNNNNNNNNNNNNNNNNNNNNNNNNNNNNNNNNNNNNNNNNNNNNNNNNNNNNNNNNNNNNNNNNNNNNNNNNNNNNNNNNNNNNNNNNNNNNNNNNNNNNNNNNNNNNNNNNNNNNNNNNNNNNNNNNNNNNNNNNNNNNNNNNNNNNNNNNNNNNNNNNNNNNNNNNNNNNNNNNNNNNNNNNNNNNNNNNNNNNNNNNNNNNNNNNNNNNNNNNNNNNNNNNNNNNNNNNNNNNNNNNNNNNNNNNNNNNNNNNNNNNNNNNNNNNNNNNNNNNNNNAUGAUAAAUUUGGAGGGAUUUUUGGCAAACGUUGAAUGUUUCUAGGAGUAGAUAGAAAAGAGAUUUUGUGACCCUUCUGGGCUAUGCGUUUGGCGAGUUCGAGGAAUGGGAUCAUAUGGCCGAAUGCUAGCCAUGGAAAGAAAGCUACAUGAAGCCUUUUAGGUUCAGUCAUGGUGGAUUAUUGGUGUUACUCUGCAUUUCUUAGCUUCGUAUCGUGUCAUAUGUAGAAGUAGAACUAACGAGGAACCCAGCGAGCCAAAGUCCUGUGAUAUGAUUUGAAAUAUUUAAUUUUAUAUUUAAGUUUUUCAUCUCAAUCAAAUUAUGUGACGUGUCACGAUCGACUAUGAUACAACAACCUCGGUGGCGAUGCGGUGCUCCUGCAUUUUGGAUCGUAGGCCCUUGAAUUAUUGAAUGUUAGUAUUUUAUUUUUUCUUUUAAAAAGGAGGGAAUUACAUAUUAUACAACACUGGGCCGAAUGACCUCUACGUGAUCAGCAUCCAAAAAGCCUAGUCUGGAGGAGGAUUAUUUUAUUACUUCAUGUCUCCAUAAUAUAAUAAUUUUGUUUCUACAAAUACGAUUGGUUGUGAAAAAUCUAACAGUAAUUAAUAAAAUUUUUCAAUAAUUACUUCAUGUCUCCAUAUCAUUUUGAAAUUGAGAUGAUGUGAGAUAGAUAAUAAACUUUGACGUUAAGAGCACAAUAGGUCCUAAAUUUAUAAUGUGACAAAACAAUUUAGGGUAAUUUUAUAAAUUUAGAUUUUAAAUAAUUCAUAAUAAUUAGUUUUUAAUAGCCAAAAAUUCAAUAAUUAUAUAACUUUUUAAGAAAAAGCAACAAGAUAUAUUAUUAAAAUUGAUAUAUUAUUCUAAAAAAGUAAAAUGUAUAAUAAAAAUUAUUAUUAAUAACAUUAUUGGGACCGAUCUUUGCUCUUAUUCUUUUGUUUUUUCUUGGUAGAUUAUUGUAUAUUAAAUUAGUUUGAAAUCUAAUUCCUAAUCAGAAUUAAUAUUUUUAAUUAAUAAGAUUAUUGUAUAUUAUUUCAUCAAACAAUAAAUCUUAUAAUAUGUUACUUAACAAAUAAAUAGUAAAUAAUAGUGUGCUUCAUUAUUUUUGAAGUGUAGUUUAUAUUAAAUUAGUCAGUUUUAAAUUAAUAUGCAUAAACACAUUAAUAGAAUUAUUUCAAACUAUUAAAAUUCUCUCAACUUACCUAUAGUUGAACCUAAUUCUAAACUUUUUCACAAACAUUAACAAAUUUAUAAUGUGAAAAAUUGAAGAAGAAAAUCAAUUAAUAAAAUAAAAUAAAACAAAUAAAAAAUUGUGAAUCAUUAGAAUUCCAAGAGAUGAAAUACACUUACAUUAUUGAAAUUUAUUAACUGAAAAUUCCAACUAUUUUGAGAAAAUCACACUAUCAUUUGAUCCUCUGAGGUAAUGUUUGCUUUCUCUCAACAUUUGUUUUCUCUCAAUUAGCUCUAAAAGGCCUAUUUAUAGUGAGACUUUAGGUCAAUUAGAUUAAUAUUAAGAUUCCUAAUUGAUUUAAUAUUCCUAUAUAUUUAGUUGAUAUUUAAUAUUUCUUAAUGAUUUUCUUUAAUAGAAAUAAUUUAUAAUCAACUAAUAAUUUCUUAUAUAAUUUAACAAUUAGGAUCAAUAUAAAUGAAUUAAAAGAUUUUUAUUUUUUAUUUUUUCGUUUUCUAGUGGUACUAAUACGUGUAGGUAUUAGUCUAUUUAAACAUCUAAAAAUUAUUUUAUAUUAUAAUAUCUUAUUUUAAUUUUUUAGGCAAUAAAAUUAAAAAUUUCCUAAUUAGAAUAAAACUAAAAGAUAUUUUUAAUAUAAUGUAUAAAUCAAUAAAUUAAAAGUUUUCUAAUUAAAAUGAAACUAAAUCAAUUAAUAAAAUACAAUAAAAUUAAAAUUUCUUAAUUAGAAUAGGACUAAAUUAUCCUUAAUUACAUUUUUAAUCAACUAAUAAAAUUAAAAGUCCGUAGGGCAUUUUAAGAACCCAAUAUCUCCCAUUCGUACUUUUAUAUAUAUUAUAAAUAGAUAACCACUAUACAUGAAAAAUAAACUGGACAGCUCAUUCAUAAAUUCAUCGCUAGCCUAUAUUUUUCCUUUUUUUUUUUUAUUUUUUUUAUACAAGAACCUGAUGAUGUUCGUAGAAUUCCUUUCAGUGGGAUCUGCCCCUGUCCCGUAGUACCUUCUGACCAAUUUCGGUGCAGGAACAGCAAUUUGCAGCUUUGGCCUGCAAGUAAUGCUAAUUUUGUAUCACAAUACAGUCACAAAUGUUAGAUGUAUUAAUACAAGAAGAAAAAUUCAGUUACCCUUGAAAAUAUGGUAGUAUGUGGGUACAAGUGAAUUCCGAAAAUUUGUGUAAUUCAUUUGAAAUUUCAUGUUUUCAGGACUUUUAUGAAUUAAAAAAAAGGACAUUUCAUUCUCAUCAAUUCAACUUCAUGGAGUUCAAUUUUAACUGAACUAAAUAUUACUAUUUCUACAUGAAUUUUAUACUUCAAAUCAUUUACACUAAACAGGGGGUUAAGGCUAUCUUACCUUUUCUGGAUCCAAUUUGCAGAUUCCUGAAACCAAUGUUCAAGGAUUUAAGACUUCCAUUGUUGGCUUCAAAUGUAAAACCUAAACAGGAACACAGCAACAAAACGGAUGCAGGAAAGGUUCAGAACUUACGAAACCUACUCCGGAUGAAAGUAUUAAGGUUUAGAUAAUUAAAAAUGAAGCAGUAUGCAGAUAAGUGAUACUAAUGCCUGUGGCAUACACAUAGUUAGCAGAGAGUAACGGAAAGUAGAAGGGAUAUCACAGUGCUGCAAAGUAAUUGCCAAAAGAAUCAAAGAUGACAUAGAAAUAUAGAAUCCAAAACAAGAAGGCAUUACAAGAAAAGACAAUAUGCAAUUUAAAAUGUGAUGUAUUUGCUCAUUCUAUUUAGUUUACAUAUAUCUUUACCCCUUUGUUUUGACAACAGAGUUGCUUAACAUGGCAAUGUAGAAUAACCUACCAAUACAAAAUAACAAAGGAAAAUAUUAUCCAAUUGAGCUGGAAGGAGAGCAGAACGUGGAAAAAAGAUAAAAGGAUGAACAUAUUAGAAAGGUUGAUGUGCAUGGCACAACAGGCUCAUACCAUCCAAAUAAAAUCCUUUACCUUAAUAAUCAGCCUUUAGGUUGGUAAAUCUUUGGUUCCAUUAAUAUUUUAUCAUCAAAGCAGGGAAUAAUGCUGAAAAACCCAUUACUCAAGGUAGAAUUAAAACAGCAUCCUGUGAAGAAGCAAAUGAGAAUAAUCACAAAGAUCAGAUCAGAAAACUAUUAAAACUUAAAUGAGUUUAUCUUACACUAUAACUUGCACCUUAUCUAAGGAAAACUUUGCAGUACAACACAACUAUGUUAUAAAAUUUUCUUUCUUUUAUAUUCCCUUCAUUUUCCUCCUAAAUUGUAGACAAGCUUUUGAAGGCAACGCUGAACACUUUCAUCCCCUCCUCCCACAUCAGUCCUCACCAAACAAAAUACACCAUUAUAAAAUUAUCCUAGACAGUGAGCUUAAAUACACAGGAAGUGUACGAGAGAAAGCCUCCACAUUGAUUGCUUUGGUUUUCCCAUUUCCUAGUUGCUGCUUCCAAGACUAAUCUCGCUCCAAACGUUUUUGCUGCAUCAAGGCCAUAUUAACCUAAAAUAAGAAGGAAAACAUGAAAAAUUGUUAGAAGAUAUUUUCUUGGGAACAUAUUGAAUUUUUUUUUUAAUCUUCAUUAAAUAUUAUAUGAUUAUUUUUCAGAUAAUAUUAAAUGAUAAGUUGCAUAAAAUUCUAGAAGCGAAAUCCUAAUCACAUUUUGGUAUUAUGUUUAUAGAAGAGUGAAUACUCACCUUUGGUACCAAAAUCUUUGAACUAGAUCCAACAAAGAAGAAGCGAGAAUGUCAAUUAUAAGAUUUUUAUGUAAAUACAGUGUUUUUUUAAUUAUUUUUAUUAUGAUGCAUUAAAUUAAUUCAUGUAGCAGGAUUGGGUCGCAUAAUUAAUGUUUUAAAAUUUUCAAUUCAUUCCAAUUUUGAAAUUAUAGCAAAAUUAAAAUAAAAAGUGCAAGACAGAGGAACCAAAGUGAUAAUGAAAAUAAUAAAUUAGGAACUUCAUAGUUAACAAGAAUAUAAACUAGAGAUCAAAUUUUCAAUCAAUUGAUAGGUAAAGGAGACAAUUUUGAACAGAAAGACCAAAAUAUUAACAAAAUUACAAGUUAUUUAUCCAAUAAACAAGACAAUUAGCUAAGGUAUAAGUGGAAGAUCAAACGUUAAUAUAUUAAUUUUUUUAAAUCAAGAUUUUAUUGGUGAUAAAUUAGUAGUUUACUUAACAUAUUAUUGAUAAAGAAACAUAUUAAACAAUAAUAAAAUAAUAAAAUUUAAAUAUUAUUUAUUUAUAAAAAAGAAAAAAAGUACGGCUAGCCAGGAUUGAAAGAGCUUGCUAUCGUGGACGAAUAAUUUAAGACAUACGAAAAAGAAAAUUAAGAAAUUAAUAAUUAAUAUGAGUGGGUGGAAGUCAUAUGUCAUACACCUCUAUAAUACGAGUGGGUUUGAUAUUACUUUUAAGAUUUGAUGAGUAUUUCUAUAUGAAAAGAAGUGAAGUGUGAUUGUUUUAUUUUAUUUUAUUUAUUUAACUUUAUUUAUAAGUUUAAUGUAUCAAAGAUUCGCUAAAUAUAAUUUAAUAGAAUAAAUCCAUUUGAUAAAGACGNNNNNNNNNNNNNNUUUUUUUUUUUUUUUAAUAUUGAGGGAGAGGAAUUUAAAUUCAAAUUUAUUACUGGAUCGUAUAUACACUUAUCACUAGAUUAUAUUUUGAUAUGUUCGUCUUGUCAAUUUUUGAUUGCAAUGAUAAAUUUAUUUUAGAACAUUUUAUAGAUUAAUUAUGAAUACAUCAACUAAUUCUAGAAUAUCCUCUUAUGGUAAGUAUCACCAAUGCAAGAAUUAAUAAAUUUAUUAUUCAUCCAUCAACUUUUAUUUGUUGUUUAUGAUUUUUACAUAGUAUUAAAAAUAUAAUUAAAUCAUCUAAAAUAUAAUAAAAUAUUUCUUAAUUUUACUAUACUUUCCCAUUAUCUCACCUAAUUUCUCAAAUCUAUUUUUUUUUUGUCAAAAUUGCUCUUUUCAUUUAUUUUCCUUUUCUUUUCUCAUCCUUUUUUGUUCUUUCACUCAAAUUCUAAUACCACAUAGGUUCUGAUUAAAUCAAGCUUGUUUAGUUUUCCAAUUCGGUUAUAAGAAUAACCAGUAUGAUUUGGUCAUAAUUUCUUAUUUAGUUUUCAUUUUGAUUAUAGAAAAUAAAUUUAUUUUAUCCAAAAUUCAAAUUAGGUCGGCUAAAACAAUCAAUUCAAUUUGAUUUUAUACAUAGCUUGAUUUUAAUUCAGUUUAGAAUAAAACCGAUCGAUUGCACAUCUCUAAUUAUCGCUCCUGUCUAUAUUAUCUAAUGACUUUGAGAAAGAGGAAAGUCAUCACUAUUGCCUUAUUUAAAAUAUGUAUGAACUUGGAAGAUAAAGAGAAAAGUCUUUAAAAUCCAUUAGCUCACUACAAAAAAAACGCCAUUUUGCGACCGACAAAUCGGUCGCAAAAUGGCUAAUAUCGGUCGCUAAAUUCACUUAGCGACCGAUCUGCGACCGACAGAGAUCGGUCGCAAAAUGUCUGGUCGCAAAAAAUUUCUGCGACCGAUGAUGUCAUCGGUCGCUAAUUUGCGACCGAUAAUAUCGGUCGCAAAUUUGAAUAAGCAGUCGCAAUUGUUGGUCGUGGUUUAAUUGGAAAUUCAGUCGCAAAUUCAGUCGCAGAAAAAUCUGUCGCAAAUUUUUUAAAUCGGUCGCAAAGUGUUAAUUUAAAAUUUUAUUUUUUGGUAUCAAAUCGGUCGCAAAUCGGUCGCAAAAUUGAAAAAAAAAUUAAAUAUUAUUAUGAAACCAAAAUUUUUCCGCACCUGUGAAAAUUAACAUAUAUACAUAUAUAUCACACACGCAAUUCAAGAACAGUAUAAAAAUGUAAUUUUUAUUGUUCUGAACAAAUUAAAAAAUGAAAAUACAAAUGAAAAAAUAAAAGACAUAGCUUGAUUUUAAUUCAGUUUAGAAUACUUAUUUCAAUUCUAGAUUUAUGGGUUUGUUUAAAAUCAAAUAAAAUCGAUCGAUUGCACAUCUCUAAUUAUCGCGCUGAUCUAUAUGAUCUAAUGACUUUGAGAAAGAGGAAAUUCAUCACUAUUGCCUUGUUUAAAAUAUGUAUGAACUUGGAAGAAAAAGAGACAGGUCUUUAAAAUCCAUUAGCUGGGGAAUUCAUAAUCCAAUUCAAUCAUCUUAAAUUAUAAAGAUGAUUGAUGUAACUCAAUUCAUUAUAUUUUUAAAUUUAUUAGGAUGGAUUGGGUCAAAUUGAGUCUAAUUGCAAUGGUAUUGCCCUGAAAAGAACAAAAAGAUAAAAUGAGACGAGAAAAAUAAAUAAAAAUCUGAAAUUUUGCUCAAAUGAUAAAUUUAACUCUUAAUAUUAAUAAUUUUCUACACUGAAAAUAACACUCCCUUUAUAUAAACAAACAAUAGAAUUAACAAAUAUUGUUUUUCUUUUUGUUUAGCAAAAGCAAAUAUAUGUGUAUUUAUUGAAGAUAAUAUUAGUAUUAAUACAAAUAUUACAGGAAGGACAUGACCCUUCUCUUGAAAACCAGAUAUAGAAUAAAAACUAUAAAAUAAUUAUUGUUCAUUGAUCUAAUAAAAAAUUCUAAUAAAAAAUAGAAAGUGAACUUGAAGAAAACAAAUAGAUCUUCAAAAGUGAUUGAUUAGAUGAACUCUCCGAAUCUUCUAUACAUGGCAUAAUUAUCUAUGAAUUAAUUACUUAUGACAAACACAGAGGAUUUAAACCAUUAAAUUCAAUAGAGGAACAAACCACACUACCAAGUUUCAAAAGACGAGAUCAUCGUAUAAAUGAAAAAUUCUCCACAAAUUGCAACCAAUCCAAAUAAACCAAACAAAUGCCAACAACAAAACAAAACUCUAUAUAAAAUAGAGAGAUCAUAAACUCCACACAAGAUGGAGAUAAAACACAAGUAGUAGCAGAAACAUAAAUAACAUGAAUCUAUAUCAGAAUAAUCAUAUAUUUGUAAUUUAUUUAAAAAAUAUAUAAAAAUCUAUAACAAGACUAAAGAGUACUAAAAUUUAAGGAUGCGGUUAAAAAAAUAUUAAAAGCAAAGAUAUAUUUAAUUUUAAAUUAUUGCCACACGAUGAUAAACUAAACACGUAAUAACUCCGAAAACUUGUUGAGGAUGUAGCAUUUGAUUUUCCCCAAAUUUAAUACUAUAAAAUAUUAGCGGAAUAUUAGUGUGCUCACACACAUGAAUUUAAUAUAAAUUUUAAUUGGAAUGGAGUGGGUAAUAAUUUACCUAUAAAAUAUAUUUUAUAAUUAUAUUUUCUUUACGUUUUGAAAUUGAUGGGAAAAAUAAUUUAUACUAAUACUGACAAAAUCAUUAUCGUCAAGUAAUGACCCUAAAAGAGGCUGUUAUGUCUACAUUAGAGCAAAGUUGCAAUGGGUCAAUUUUGAAUUUGAUUCAACUAUAUUGAGUGCGCGGAUUCAAAUUAAUGGUAGGUAAAUUUAGAUGUUCUAAUUUUAAUGGCGAAAAGGAGAGAGAGGCUGCGUUUAAAAAAAAUAUUAAAAGCAAAUAUAUAUUUAAGUUUAAAUUAUUGCUACACGAUGAUAAACAAAACACAUAAUAACUCCGAAAACAUAUUGAGGAUGUAGUAUUUGAUUUUCUCCAAAUUUAAUAUUAUAGAAUAUUAGCGAAAUAUUAGUGCGCUCACACACAUGAAUUUAAUAUAAAUUUUAAUUGGAGUGGAGUGGUUAAUAUUUUACCUAUAAAAUAUAUUUUAUAAUUAUAUUUUUUUUUACGUUUUGAACUUGAUGGGAAAAAUAAUUUAUACUGAUAUUGACAAAAUCAUUAUCGUCAAGUAAUGACCCUAUAAGAGGCUGUUAUGUCUGUAUUAGAGCAAAGUUGCAAUGGUCCAAUUUGGAAUUUGAUUCAACUAUGUUGAGUGUGCGGAUUCAAAUUAAUGGUCGGUAAAUUUAGAUGUUCUAAUUUUAAUGGCGAAAGGGAGACAGAGGCUGCGUUUAAAAAAAAUAUUAAAAGCAAAUAUAUAUUUAAGUUUAAAUUAUUGCUAUACGAUGAUAAACAAAACACGUAAUAACUCCGAAAACAUGUUGAGAAUGUAGCAUUUGAUUUUCUCCAAAUUUAAUACUAUAAAAUAUUAGCGGAAUAUUAGUGCGCUCACACACAUGAAUUUAAUAUAAAUUUUAAUUGGAGUGGAGUGGUUAAUAAUUUACCUAUAAAAUAUAUUUUAUAAUUAUAUAUUUUUUACGUUUUGAAAUUGAUGGGAAAAAUAAUUUAUACUGAUAAUUGAAAAAAUCAUUAUCGUUAAGUAAUGAACCUAAAAGAGGCUGUUGUGUCUAUAUUAGAGCAAAGUUGCAAUGGGUUAAUUUUUAAUUUGAUUCAACUAUGUUGAGUGCGCGGAUUCAAAUUAAUGGUUAGCAAAUUUAGAAGUUCUAAUUUUAAUGGCGAAAGGGAGAGAGAGGCUGCGUUUAAAAAAAAUAUUAAAAGCAAAUAUAUAUUAAUAUAAAUAACUACUUGAUUAGUUAUUUAAUAUAAAAUGAUAAAAAAUGGUAUGAAAGUAAGGAAUAAGAAAAGACGAGUAAUGUGUAUAAGUGCUAUAAAGAAAUUACAAAACGUUAAACGUUAAUGAAGAUAACGUUUUAUAAAAAACUUCUCAAACUCUAAAUGCUAGUGCAGAUAUUGUAUUAUCGAAUGUUAUAAUUAAUUAAAAUAAUAUUUUAAUCCUAUCAAAAAUUAAUACUACUUUAAAUGCAGAAUAUGGCCUAAUUAUCAAACUUAAAAUCAAAUAAUAAUUAUAAAAGCAAUUAAAAUUGAUUGGUCAGUAUCAAUUACCAAAUAUGAAAAGAAAAACAAUAAUGACAUGUUUUAUAAUUGUAAUAAUCUAAACUUUUACCCAAAAAAAAAAAAAAAAAAAAGAAAAGUAUGUUACGUUACUCGUGGUUUGCGAAAUAAAUUAUUUUGUCUUUAUCUUUUUUAAAAUAUAUAAAUUUAUUUCUGAAUUUUACUUCCGUUAUAUUAUUAGAUCUUUUUCUCCAUCUUUUGUAUCUUUUCUGUUAAGACAAUAAGAAAUACUAUCGUACUUAACAGAAAAAGAUGCAAUAGUAUAAUAUCCCGAUGUUAUCAUUUCUAAAUACUUCAAGAAAUGACAACUUUAUGGUUUGAAAAAUACAGCUAUAAUAUUCCUGUGUUUUAAAAAAAAAAAAAGAAUAUUUUGUUAUUUUAUAAUAUAGAAAACAUAUAAAAAUUAAACGAAAAAUUUUAUAAUUUAAUGGAAGUAAAUCAUAAAAAUACUUUACUCUGUUAAAAAAAAAGGAUAAAUUAACUGUAUUUCGUAAUUACAAAAAUCCCAUUGUACUUUUCCCAAAAAAGAAAGUACAACGAUCAAAAUCAUAGUCCAGUAUGGCCUACUCCAAGAAAGGACAACUUUUUGUAGUAAUGUUCAUUAAAUACUCUCUCAUCUACUCUUUUCGUACCUUCAAAAAACCAUUUAAUUUGUAUAAGUUUAUAAUAAAUUAUUAAAUAAAUUAAUAUAUUAUCCUUAUUUGUAUUAAAGUGAGAGAUUUUUAAAAAUUACAGCAAUUAAUGUUUAUCAUUUAUAAAGAGUAAAAUUGAGAAAAAAAAUUUAUUAUAUCUAAAAAAAAAUCUAUAAAUAUAACACUAAACUUUCACAAAUGUGAGAUUAUUUAUAGACCGAGGAAGUAAUAGUUUGCUCAUAUUAUUGUUAUUUCAGGUAGAGCGUAAUAACAUUAGAUGAGUAAAUACUGGGGCCAUUACUCUACGUAUGCAGCUCAGUAGAAAAGGACAUAUAUGGGAUUCCAGUUACAAAAAGCCCAGUAUGUUUAGACAAAGAGAAGACCCAAGAAAAGAAGUAGAAGACAACUGAACAAUGGAUAUGCUCUUACACACGUAACAAUGAAUCUUGGUUUAGAAAUUAGCACAUGUGUGAAUUCAUACACCAAGGACACCAAGUGUCCGCGGGAGAAUGUAUCACCGAGUUACUCCCUACUCCCAACUCGGUGAGUUUGUAGAAACUCAACAAACUGGUCGAUGCAUCCAUUAUGAACUUCUCUAUUUGUAAUUAACUUCCUCAUCUCGUUAGUACUCUCUCUAUAUAAUUUUCCUUUCUCGUUAUCCAUAGCCAGCAUCAGUGACUCGGCCAACGAUUCCUUUGUAAACGAUCCGUCUUGCUCAUUUCUUUUUACUUCUACCCCCAACUUCUUCUCUUCAAAAACCCUGGCAUUUAACCCUUGGUCAAUUGAGACGGGAAACAAAAUCAAUGCGAGUCCAAAAUUAAGUGCCUCUACAACUGAACUCAAACCGCAGUGAGUCAAAAACCCGCCAACCGACUCAUGCCCUAGAAUUCUGAGUUGAGGUACCCAACUCGUCCACACUAUUCCACGUCCUUUCACUCUCUCUUCAAAUCCGUCCGGUAACUCGAACGAGUUACCUUGCUUCCUUAGAGUCCAAAAGAAUGGCAAUCCUGAUAGCUCUAAUCCAAGUGCCAAAUCAUUCAGAUCUUUUUGACUCACUUCCAACUCACUUCCGAAUGCUAUGUAUACGACAGAUCCUUUGUUUUGCUUGUCUAGCCAGCCACAGAUUUUAAGCCACGUUUCAUCAUCGCCACCUGUAACAUCCAGAUCUGACGGCGGAAGUAGGCCAAUUGGAAGCACAGGCUUACCGUGAAGUUGUUCAAAAAGCUUUAAAUGAUCAGCUUCUAACUCGAAGCAGCUCCUUACAGCAAGUACAUCGACUGCCGCCAUUACUGUACCUAGACGAUACAUAUCGGAUAAACCCGAAUCAUUUACUUCGAAAUGUUCAAAAGCUCUUUUUGCCUCAUGAAUCCGAUACGCAACUUUGGAGGGAAAUGGUACCCACUUAGGAGGGACAGUGAAAUCCUCCGGUCGAGUCCGUUCAUCAUCACCGUUAAUCAUGGCCGACGAUGACGAUGCCAGGAAAGCCAUUGUCCAAGCAGAGAAAAUACUGAAAAAGGCACUAGAAAUGCCAAGAUCUGAAGUGAUCGGAGGUAGCCAGUAAGCGGCAAAAUCGUAAAUGAUCCAAUCUGGAGCAGAAGUUUUUAAAAACUGAAACAAGGGUUCUUUUAGCCCAUCAUAAGCUAUUUUAAGGUAAGGAAUUUUGUUGGUAGGUAUAUCCAUGGUGGCCUCUGCAUCAGGGGGAAGAUUGUCUACCUGAGGUAAGGGAAGGCUUAUGAAAUGUAUAUUGGAUGAUAAAUUUGGAGGGAUUUUUGGCAAACGUUGAAUAUUCCUAGGAGUAGAUAUAAAGGAGAUUUUGUGACCCUUCUGGGCUAUGUGUUUGGCUACCUUAAGAUAAGGGAUUAUAUGGCCAAAUGCCAGCCAUGGAAAUAAAGCAACAUGAAGCUUUUUAGUUUCAGUCAUGGUGAAUUUCUUGGUGUUCAUCUACUUUGCAACCCUCAGCGUUUAAAUAGACAUUGUUUAUUAUUCAUCUGUGUGUACCAAAGCAAAUGUCAGGGGCGAGCUAUUGUUUAUAAUUUCUGUGGGCCCCAAAGUCAGUUGUGUUAGAUAUACUCCAUGUAGUAUAAUACACACUUCAUUUGUAAUAAAAUUCAAAUUAGAGGGCAAAUAUGAGAUUUAAUACAUGAACUUUGACGCAAAUAGAAGACUGGAAAUGCCCAAUAUGACGGAGCAGUCGGAGGAAGAAGAAAGAGAAAUCCUGAGCAAUACUAGUUGCUAAAGUGGCGAAGAAGACACAAAUGAUAGCACUUGAGUGAUUUUAAUAAUCAGAGUCGAUUUUCUAUUUUAUCACUUAUGCCUUUUGUUUUCAUGAGAACUGAGCAGGUGAUGAAGGAGAUGGAUUUUUAGAAGACGUUGAUUUUUACGAGGCUUUCUAAAUCAAACUGAUGUUCAUUUCAAUUCUCAAAUCUCUUUACUUUUUCAUAUUUUUAUGAAAUUAAAUUUAUGGUCUUUUCUAUAUCUAUUGCAGGGUGUUUAUGUUUGAGAAGAGAGAGAAAAUGAAAUUGUUAAAAGAAGGAAGAGAUGCUGCAUGUUAAGAUAGACUGGAACCAUAGAUGGAAAAGAUUAAAGGUUCAAAGGUCUCUCAAAAUAUAAAAACUUCUUUUUCUUCUAUUAAACUUGAAAUAAUAAUUAUAAUAACAUCAAUUAAGAAUUAAGAAAAUUGUCACAUACAUGGAUCGGAGGAAGAGGUAUUUGAGAUAGAAAAACAGAAGUUAGAGAUGCUGCAGAUCAAUAUGAACACACAUAGAAGGAAGCUGGAGAUUGUGGAAGUCUGAAACAGAGGUAUAUGAGAUGCUAUGGAUUAUAUUUACACUAUUACCCUUUUCACUUCAAUACGAUUGAUUGCCGACCUUUUUUACUUGUGGGACCCUCUAUAUUUAUUAUAUUAUAUUAUAAGGACCAAAUGACCGGGCGACUCGAACUGUGUAUCACUGCCCUUUAAAAAAUUCAUCUUGUGUUUCGUAUAAGGCAGGUACACUUUUUAGUUUAAUCACAACCGCUUAUCAAGUGUGGCGGGAAAGACUUUUAAGGCGACUCAAAACCUGCUCAUGGUGACGGUUUUGGAAAAGCCACUAAUGGCAGAAGCUUUCAAAAUUCGAAUAAGACAGGAGAUAAAGAUGUUUCAGAGGGCAUGAUUGGCGGAGAUGAUUAUGCUCCUGCGGUGGAUAAGUCAGCAGUGGACACUGCACAUGUGGACCAGGCAUGAGAUGAUUGGCAAUACGAUUGAUUGCCGACCUUUUUUACUUGUGGGACCCUCUAUAUUUUUGAUAUUAUAUUAUAUUUACACAAGCCCUUUAAAAAAUUCAUCUUGUGUUUCGUAUCAAGGCAGAAACACUUUUUAGUUUAAUCACAGCCACAAGUGUGGUGGGAAAGACUUUAAACACACGGGCGGAGCCGCAUGCAGCACAUAGGGCAUGCUCAUCCCGAAAUAAAAAAUUUUCAUGGAUUUGAUGAAGCCUAAAAUGAUAUUGUUCUCUGAUUCCAUAUAUAGAAAGAUAAUUCGUGGUUAGCAUUUGCUAUUCAUAAUUAUAUGGACUAAAAGAACAUGGCACGUGUUUACUAUUUUGCUCGUUUAUGAUUCAAAUAUAAAAUAUUUAUUGAGGCUUUAAGCAUAGCAUUAAAGUAAAUAAAUAAAUUUUACAUUUAAUUUUUGUGGAGGGAUAUGUGGUAAAUUUUGGACAAAAUUUUCAUCAAGAUAAGCUUAAAAUUAUAAUUUUAAAAGAUAUCCAUAUUGAAAAAUUUAAAAUUUAAAAAUAUAUAAUCUAGUAAAUAUAUAUAUAUAUAUAUAUAUAUAUUUUUCAUUUAUCCAGAUACACAUCAUUUUACUUAGCUACCUCUUUUCUAUCUCCAUCCUCCACCAAAGAAGCUUUAAUAAAUAUUAUAAAUCAGGCUUAACGCGUAAUUUUACUUUUAAACUAUUACCAUUUCUCCUGGUAGCCUCUUGAACUUUGUGGGAUUCUAUCGUAGUGACCUUAUAUUAAGGGUGGCCACGGUUCCAAAACCAACGGUUUCGAAAUCGAACUAAAAAUUAACAGUUCCGGUUACGGUUUGAAAUUGAACAAUUCUAAUUUCGGUUUGAAACCAAAAAUUAACAGUUCUAUCGUAUUGACCCUAUACGAAACUAAAACCGUUGGGUCCGACUGAAACUAGAACCCCAGUUCUUCAGUAAUAAUAAAUUCUUUAGUGACCAUGUCCCUCGCAAGAAGAGCGUCAAUCGCGUUUGGGAGAGUAAGGACGAAUUUUCUCAGUCAAUGAAUGUCCAACGUGGCGAGAUCAACCGUUGUUAUUGUCAAAUAGCUUAAGGAGUUUCUUUACCAAUUUUCUGUCGUCAAAAUCAAACCCAGGAACGACGUCAAUCCCUCUCUCUCUCUCUCAACUGAUUUUGUUUACCAAUUUUCUGUCUUCCUUUAUACUUUCAUUUUUUAGAAUCGCAUUUUUCUCUGUCUCUUUCGCUUCUCAUUUUGUUCAUCAAAAGAAAGUAAUAACAAAGAUGAAUUUAAUGGUGAUGCUUUGAUAUUUAUUUACACAAGAGAAGGAUUUCAACAGCUCAUCUUCUCAACAGAGAAACGGUAGCCCCAUGUUGACGAAUUGAGCAAGUGGUGGCGGUGACUGAUGGCAAUGGAAACCCAUAUUUGAAUACCCUUCGGAAACUAGAGAAGCAAGACGAUGGCGUUCAUUUGAUGCUGGCUCGAGAUCCCAUAUUACAAGUUUCUUUAAUUAUAUUAUGUUCACCAAAUCUACUCAUAGUGUUGUGAAAUUAAUUUUAAGAUUUUAAGAUUGCUUUGAAAAGGAGAUAUGGAAGAUUAUUAAGAUAGCAUAUAGGAUUAAAUUUUCAUUGGUUUCAUGUGCUGCGAUACUUAUUUUCUUUUUCUCAUUGGAGAUGGUUUAUGAGUACUUAUUACAAGCUCAUGAUAAGGAACCAACAGAUUGCCCUAAAUUAUGAACAUACAUUAAUUUCUAGUUUGUUAAUACUAACAGAAUUAUCAUUCUAUUUCAACUUAGCCUAUGUUACCUAAGAAUCUGAGAUGUCGGAAUCAUAUUUGAACUGUUAAUAAGACACACAUAAUUUUCUAAUAUAUAAUUAUUGAUAAAAUAAAGUAAAGAGUUCAUAUGUAUGACCCUGCUCUGCUGAAAACUUUGUGGCGCAUGGCUGUAUGGUCCUAUUCAUUCAUGGAAAUUAUGAGUCAAUUCAACUUGCGAGCAAGUCGAUGAUCUUGUGUUAUUAAUGAGCAGAGAUAGCACCGUAUAUUUAUUUCAACAAGAAGAGAAAGGUCCCCUUAGGUUUACGUACUUAUAUUCAGAUUCAGAGCAAUGGACCUUGAAAAUGAUUGACAACUCACAUUCUCAUAACUAGAUUGCUGCCCUCUGCACUGUUAUUUUGUAAUGAAACUAAAAAGGGAAUGUUUGUUUUUUUAAGUUAUGAAGAAUUGACAGCUGAUACCAUCUUUUUAAGGAUAAGAGUUCAAUCUCUGAUAACAACACUCAUGGGAACAAACUGUCAACCUGAGUUAAUUAUUCCAGACAUCAGCCCUAGACAAUUACAUAGUUAACUAUAUCAAAAUAAUAAUUAUCAAAAUAUUUACUCCAAUACACUUAUUUACCAUAAUUUUUUCUUAUAAAUAUGGUUUUAUAUAUCUAUCGAACAAUAUUUUUAUUUCAUUUAUUUAUAAUUUAUAAAUUAAUUUAAUUUUAUAUAUAUAUAUAUAUACCUUUUAAAUAAUAAAUGUUUGAAGUGGUUUAGUGGUAAAAUGUCUUAAUUGUACGCAAGAAGUCAUUAAAGACAAUUUCUUUUUCACGAUGUAAUGGUAUUUUGAAAUUUAAGUCAUCAUCUUAUUCUCUAGUAAAAAAAAAAUCAUUUUCCCUUUCCCAUUAUACUUAUUUAUGUUAAAAUUAAUUUUAUUGAUAAUAUAAAUAAUUAAUUUCACGGGAAUAAAAAAAUAAUAUGUUAAAAGCAUAAAUACAUUAAUCAUAUUAUUAAAAAAAAAAAACUUUUGCUUUUUAGCAUAAAUAAUACAACAAACAAAUUGUGCAAUUAUUGCAAACCAUAGGAACUAAAUAAUUUUUUUUCUAGCAAAAAAAAAAUCCACAUUAUAGACUGGUACACUAUUCGACCAUGAAGCCCCAGUUUACUGCUGAGUCAUGAAGAAAUCGUUCAAAGAACUGAGUCAAUUUAAAUUACAAGUAACUCGAUGAUGUUGCAGCAACUCAACAAAACGAUCUACGUAUCUGUCAUGGAGAUCUUUAUCUGCUAAUAACUCCCUCAUCUCCUUUGCAGCAUCUCUGUAUUCUUUUCCUUCCUUAUCAACCAUAACCAACCUCAAUGACUCAGCCACCGAGUCCCUUGUAAAAGACCCAUCUUGCUCAUCUCUGGUUAUUUCUACACCAACCUUCUUUUCUUCAAAAACUCUAGCAAUUAACCCUUGGUCCAGAGCAAUGGGCAGCAUAAUCAAAGCUCGUCCAAAAUAGAGUGCUUCUAUAAUUGAACUAUAACCACAGUGAGUCAAAAUCCCACCAACCGAUUCAUGACUCAGAAUUCUGAGUUGAGGUACCCAAGUUUUCCACACUAGCCCACGUCCCUGGACUCGCUCCUCAAAUUCAUUCGGCAGUCCGAGUGAGUUAUCUUUNNNNNNNNNNNNNNNNNNNNNNNNNNNNNNNNNNNNNNNNNNNNNNNNNNNNNNNNNNNNNNNNNNNNNNNNNNNNNNNNNNNNNNNNNNNNNNNNNNNNNNNNNNNNNNNNNNNNNNNNNNNNNNNNNNNNNNNNNNNNNNNNNNNNNNNNNNNNNNNNNNNNNNNNNNNNNNNNNNNNNNNNNNNNNNNNNNNNNNNNNNNNNNNNNNNNNNNNNNNNNNNNNNNNNNNNNNNNNNNNNNNNNNNNNNNGCGACUUUUGAGGGAAACGGAACCCACUUAGGUGGAACGGUGAAGUCCUCUGGCUGAGUCCGUAGAUCAUCACCGUUAAUCAUGGCCGAAGAUGAUCCAAAAAAUGUUAGAGUCCAACCACCAUAAAUACUGAAAAAGGCACUUGAGAUUCCGAGAUCGGCCGUAAUACGAGGUAACCAGAAAGGUGCGAAGUCGUAAAUAAUCCAAUCAGGAGUAGAAGUUUCUAGAAACUGAAGCAGAGGGCAUUGCAGGUUAUCGUAGGCUUUCUUGAGGUAUGGAACCUUGUGCGUGGGAAUGUCAGUGGUAGCCUCUGAAUUAGGGGGGAGAUGGUCUUCAGAAGGUUAAGUGAGGGUUACUAAAUGGACAAGGUUUGCUAAAUUUGGAGGGAUUUUGGGCAAACGCUGGAUGUUUUUAGGGGUAGAAAUAAAGGAGAUUUUGUGACCUCUUUUGGCUAAAAGCUUGGCGAGCUCGAGGAAUGGGAUUAUAUGACCAAACGCUAGCCAUGGAAACAGAGCAAUAUGGAGCUUUUUAUGUUCAUUCAUGGUGAACAGAGGACUAAUGUAGAAGCCUACAAGCUGCUUGUAGAAAAUCCCUAUAUUGAAAAAUGAAAAUCAUGAUAAGCAAAACUUUGGGCUAAUCGCGGUUGACAUUGUAUCAAAAAAUAUGCUUUAGCAGGAGUGAAAAUACUAAAAUGGCCUUGUUUUAAUUGAAGGUAGGGACAAAUCUUAGCAAAAUGAAACUUUACCAGUUGGAGGAUAAUUUAGAGACCAACCUGUGGAAAAGUAAAAGAAUCAAUUAAGAGUGGUUGAACCAAAUCUAUUUUUCAAUUAAAAAAUCAAUUAGUACUUAAAGAAAAAUUGUCAUGAUGCACAAAACUACUAUUUUGCACAAACCUACCAAUCUGGG